rnacentral:rRNA from 1 species
GACGAACGCUGGCGGCGUGCUUAACACAUGCAAGUCGAACGGAAAGGCCCUGCUUUUGUGGGGUGCUCGAGUGGCGAACGGGUGAGUAACACAUGAGUAACCUGCCCUUGACUUUGGGAUAACUUCAGGAAACUGGGGCUAAUACCGGAUAGGAGCUCCUGCUGCAUGGUGGGGGUUGGAAAGUUUCGGCGGUUGGGGAUGGACUCGCGGCUUAUCAGCUUGUUGGUGGGGUAGUGGCUUACCAAGGCUUUGACGGGUAGCCGGCCUGAGAGGGUGACCGGCCACAUUGGGACUGAGAUACGGCCCAGACCCCUACGGGAGGCAGCAGUGGGGAAUAUUGCACAAUGGGCGGAAGCCUGAUGCAGCAACGCCGCGUGCGGGAUGACGGCCUUCGGGUUGUAAACCGCUUUCGCCUGUGACGAAGCGUGAGUGACGGUAAUGGGUAAAGAAGAACCGGCUAACUACGUG